UACUACUAUUAAUAGCAAUGACUGUCUUCAACUCUCGUUUACAAUCAUUACCAUAUUUCUUUUUAUAUAACUUUCUUCAUAGCCAUAUAGAUGAAAACUAAGACCCACGAGUAGCCACAGCAGAACAGAAAAGGUAAUUACCAAGGAGAAUGCUGACAAGAGUUCGGCAGAUAGGUAACAGGGAAAGUUCUAAUCCCUUCGGAAUGGAUUACAUCAUGUCACCUAGAUACUCCCUUGGAAACUACAAAUCUUAGUGGUAGCAGCCAGGCUUCAAAGUGCCAGUAACUGAAUCUAUGGCACCACAACUGUCUCCUGUAGAGAUUACCAUACCCAACUUCAGUACUGGCUCAUUAAGAACAAAAGUAGAUGUUUAGCUACAACUGUAAAGUCAGAGUCCUCCAGGCUGUCCAAAGAACUCGCCGAGGGACUCAAGUCUCCAGCCACCCGGGACACUUGCAAGAUCAGGACACUGAUAAAUGAAGACUACUGAGGACAGAGGGUGCCAUCACAGAGCAGGCAAUUUUCUCAAGGAAAAAGAACUUCCUGAAGCCAUCUCUCAGCAGCAUCGUCUUGACCAAUCACCUUCAAAUAUUCUCAAAUAUAUCUCAAAAAUGAAACGACAGUAAGUUCUCUUUUAAACAUGGGACAUUUAAAAGCAUCACCUCUAAUAAAAAGUAACACAAGCAUCUGCACUUAACAUGACUAAGUUAGAAAACUGAAAGAAUUCACGUAUCAUAACUGUUUUACCUUCCAUUAUUGGAUUAAUACAGUUUUUACAUAUGUGAAUAAUUUCCAUUAAACAUGCCACAGACCUUGUCCAACACAGGCAAACCAAAGCCCUGUAAAUUAAAUUAUAUUUUAGUACAGAACAAUUUUGGCAUAUGCUUGUUUUUCAAUAAACCUUGGCUGGUAAUUUAGCUUUUCAAAUUCAGUCAAGUUCAGUAGUUUCGCUUUUGAGACUGACCCUUCCCAGGGCUUGCCAUUUAGAGGAAUGCGACGUGGAAUAAUACUUUUGCAUGAUCUUGUGUUUUGAGUACUCAUCUUGAUAUAACAGCUUUAUAAGACUGAGAGUUUCUACCACGUUGAACGCAGCAUUUAAAUUUUCAG